UACGAAGGGGGCUAGCGUUGCUCGGAAUCACUGGGCGUAAAGGGUGUGCAGGCGGGGAAGCAAGUGGGGGAUGAAAUCUCCAGGCUUAACCUGGAGGGGUUAUGCCAGACUGCAUCUCUAGAGGACGAGAGAGGGGGGUGGAAUUCCGGGUGUAGUGGUGAAAUGCGUAGAGAUCCGGAGGAACCCCAGAGGCGAAGGCGGCCCCCUGGCUCGUACCUGACGCUCAGCCACGAAAGCAUGGGGAGCGAACGGG
rnacentral:rRNA from 1 species